ACUUGAAUUGAAGAGUUUGAUCAUGGCUCAGAUUGAACGCUGGCGGCAGGCUUAACACAUGCAAGUCGAACGGUAGCAGGAGAAAGCUUGCUUUCUUGCUGACGAGUGGCGGACGGGUGAGUAAUGCUUGGGAAUCUGGCUUAUGGAGGGGGAUAACUACGGGAAACUGUAGCUAAUACCGCGUAGAAUCGAGAGAUGAAAGUGCGGGACCGCAAGGCCGCAUGCCAUGAGAUGAGCCCAAGUGGGAUUAGGUAGUUGGUGGGGUAAAGGCCUACCAAGCCUGCGAUCUCUAGCUGGUCUGAGAGGAUGGCCAGCCACACUGGAACUGAGACACGGUCCAGACUCCUACGGGAGGCAGCAGUGGGGAAUAUUGCGCAAUGGGGGGAACCCUGACGCAGCCAUGCCGCGUGAAUGAAGAAGGCCUUCGGGUUGUAAAGUUCUUUCGGUAUUGAGGAAGGAGUGUAUGUUAAUAGCAUACAUUA
rnacentral:rRNA from 1 species